AUUGAACUCUGGCGGCAGGCCUAACACAUGCAAGUCGAGCGAGCGGCGGACGGGUGAGUAAUGUAUGGGGACUGCCCGCUAGAGGGGGAUAACUACUGGACACGGUGGCUAAUACCGCUUACUAUCGGAUAACCCCUCAGGGAUUAGCUAGUAGGUGGGGUAAAGGCGCACCUAUGCGACGAUCACUAGCUGGUCUGAGAGGAUGAUCAGCCACACUGGGACUGAGACACGGCCCAGACUCCUACGGAGGCAGCAGUGGGGAAUAUUGCACAAUGGGCGCAAGCCUGAUGCAGACAUGCCGCGUGUAUGAAGAAGGCCUUAGGGUUGUAAAGUACUUUCAGCGGGGAGGCGUUAACCGCAGAAGAAGCAACGGCUAACUCCGUGCCAGCAGACGCGGUAAUUC
rnacentral:rRNA from 1 species